GGCAGCAAGCGAUUCUCUGUGACCUCUGCUUCCUCUGCCAGGAGAGCUUGCAUUGUGCAGCCAUGAACACAUAAUUCACUGGCACCCACCGGGGAAAUGCCCUGCUGGCACUGCACAGACAUCCUCAGCCCAAGGAAAUGAGGAAGCAGAAGAGCUGAGUCACCCCUCCAGAAGACAUUUCCCACCAGAGAUGUUCUGCCAUGUGAUCCUGGUAUUGAUCCUGGUAUCUCUUGUCACUGGAGGAGCUCCUGUGUCACUCCCAGGCCUGGGUGAGGGUGACAUUCCUCCAGUGGCAUUGCUACAGCAAAGGCAAACUCACCACUCAGUGUAUGCUGCAGAACAAGUAAAUCCUCUCUGUUUGGAAGCAUCCCUGUCUGCACUGAGACCUUGCCUUUGGAAGGUGAUAAUGUGAAAAACAUCCUGUGACGUUUUUGCAUUUGUUCUCUGGGAGCCAUCCAUCAUUUCUAGCACCGUGACUUCUGGGUGACUCCUCUGUGCUUCUCCCUGCCACCGUGUGCCAGCUUUGUGCCAAUAAUCUUGGAUGACAGUUAUGGAGGUCUAAAUUCAUCCCUCAUUUUUGUUAUAUAUUGCCUGUGAUUUAAAGCCACUUAAAUAUAUAUUGCCUGUGAUAUAAAGUCA